rnacentral:rRNA from 1 species
AGUGAACGCUGGCGGUAGGCCUAACACAUGCAAGUCGAACGGCAGCACAGUAAGAGCUUGCUCUUACGGGUGGCGAGUGGCGGACGGGUGAGGAAUACAUCGGAAUCUACUUUUUCGUGGGGGAUAACGUAGGGAAACUUACGCUAAUACCGCAUACGACCUACGGGUGAAAGCAGGGGAUCUUCGGACCUUGCGCGAUUGAAUGAGCCGAUGUCGGAUUAGCUAGUUGGCGGGGUAAAGGCCCACCAAGGCGACGAUCCGUAGCUGGUCUGAGAGGAUGAUCAGCCACACUGGAACUGAGACACGGUCCAGACUCCUACGGGAGGCAGCAGUGGGGAAUAUUGGACAAUGGGCGCAAGCCUGAUCCAGCCAUACCGCGUGGGUGAAGAAGGCCUUCGGGUUGUAAAGCCCUUUUGUUGGGAAAGAAAAGCAGCAGGCUAAUACCCCGCUGUUCUGACGGUACCCAAAGAAUAAGCACCGGCUAACUUCGCG